UGGUGAAUUAUGAACUGAUCUGUUUGGUCAAUUUAACUUUCAGCUUAUAAGGAAAUUAUCAUUUCCUAAACACACAUAUCUGUAAAUGUUUUUUUUCGCAGCUUAAAUCAAAUUCUAAUGAGUUGUUAAUAAAUGCAGACAUAAAUCGAAUAACGCUGGUUGCUCACAUUCUGUUAUCUCAGCAAUUGAGUUCAACUGAAUUCCUUCAAAUAUAUACAACGGCCAUAUAUCAACCAAAACCUUUUAUCUAUGUUUAAUAAUCAUACCGAAAAUCCGUAGAAUCAUCUAUUCUCAAGUAUUUGAGCUGUCAGAGAGAGGGAGAGAGUGUCGUAUGCAUUUGCGCAAUAUGAAGAACAUUUAAACUAAAAGAAUUAACUGUUGGUUUUGUUGUUGUUGAAUUGUUUGCUUACAUUGUUUUCAAGGAAUACCUUCUGACAAUGGACAAAAAAUCGAAUAAUAAUAUCCGUUGAUCAAACAAACUUUAGACCGAUUAUAUUUGGAUAGAGACGAAACGGGAGAUAUAACAUUUAUCGUGGACACGGAACCAAUUCGGGCGCAUCGUUGUGUAUUAGCAGCAUUCAGUCCAAAAUACAAAGCUCAGUUCUAUGGCUUGCAACCAGAUGAAAAUAUUGAAUGCAUCAAUUUUCUUUUGGAAUCGGUGACAAUGGAAAACUUGUGCUUUAGCUUUCAAUUGGCGGUUCUGUAUGAUAUUAAAGUAUUGAAAGAUUUGUGUCAACUUCAUAUCAUCUCGAAUGCCAAGAUGCUGGUUCAUACCAGGGAUUUUAUCGAUUGUGAUCGCGAAUAUUUGAUCGAAAUUUUAAAAUUAGAUUCAUUGAAUUGUAAGGAAAUUGACAUUUUCCACGCGUGCAUUUCAUGGGCUCGUUCUGCUUGUGAAAGAAAUGGGAAAAGUGCAGCAAAUAUGGCAGGUUUACGCACCGAACUGGGCGACGCAAUCAAACAAAUUCGCUUUUCGUCCAUAUCCAUAGAAGACUACGCUGUUCUUCAUAAGAAUUUGAACGGGUUCUUCACACCGUUUCCUCUGAUCGACAUAUUUUAUAUUAUUUCCAAGGUCAAAGGUCACAAAUCAAAACACUUCAACCAAACGUCACGCAGUCAAUAAAUAUGUACAGUUUUAUUUACAAUUUUGAAAUAUAAAAAAAUUAUUGUGGUUUUAUUACGUA